UGUGCUAUUACUAUACAAUUUUAUUAUGAAUUCAUAGUAUGUUCAUACAUUUGCUUAGUCAUUUGUCUGUUUUAGGCACCGUGUGAAGUUCUGGGCAUAUAACAGGAAACAAGAAAGAUAAGGCCCUUGCUUACAUAGAACUUGGUGAAGAAUCUAGACCGUAAAAAGCACACAGGGAAAAUGUAUCACAAAUUGUGCUAAAGUUCUGUAAAAGGAUUAAGAUGGAGUGUCACAAGACUGAAUUAGACAGAGUGCCCUUGAAAGAGACUGACUACCAGUGCAUGUGGAUGGACAAUUUCUUGAUAAAAUGGAUGACUCACUGUGCUGAAGAACAAAGAAAAAAAUAG
rnacentral:lncRNA from 1 species